GCGGAACUGCAUUGGUGUAAUGAAGAGUGGAUAAAAGAGUCAUGUGAAGGUAGGGUAUACAGGGAAAUGAUGGAUGGGCCAGCACACCGUCAAGGCAGCGCUUCACUUGACCGAUUCCAAAAGAACAUGGAGAAGAAGGAGAAGAGGCCAGUGGGUAUAUUUGAGGCUUAUGCAGAAGCAAGGAAGAAUGGAAAAGAUGGAGAGGACUAUUGUACUGACCGUGUCAAGGGAAGCUUAUUUUGGAGUUGUUAAGGAAAAGCAUGGUGCAAGUCCUGAUUUGAUGAAAUAACCCAUUGAUGGCGCUUCAAUCUGCGAUGAAAGCUAAUGUUUUGCCUCCACGACCAGCGGCCCCAACAUGCCCCACUGUCUAUU